GCCGAGGUGGCGAAACUGGUAGACGCGUCAGACUCAAAAUCUGAUUGGGGCAACUCAGUGUCGGUUCGAGUCCGACCCUCGGCACCA
rnacentral:tRNA from 1 species